UCAUCAAGAUCUCAAGAUCUCUUCAAGAAUCUUUUAUAUCUCUAUAAAAAAAACCCUAUUAGGUUCACCAUCUUCUCAAACAUUUCACUCACACAAACCCAACACUCACAUAUACUCUCCCUCUCUCGAUUUCAUUACACAAACACAAAGGAAAUUUUAUUCUCAAACACACAUGGGAAACUAACCCUCUCAUUCAUCAUCUUCCUCAGACACACACAUAUAUAAAACCCCUCUAUCAUCUUCAUCAGGUUCCUAAUCUAAAUCACAACACUGAACUUACAUCAUUACUCUCAUCUUUCUCUCGAUCUAUGCAGCAAACACCCACACGACUACAAUCAGACUCCACUCCCUCGUUCCUCCCUCAUGAGCAGCCGACAACCCCACCCCCCUCUCCUGAUGCUUCGCGACAGACAAGUUGGAGUUGGUCUCUGGCAGAUUUCCGACCGUCGCACCCCACCCCCUUUUCGAUGUGUGUAACCGACCGACCACCACCACCACCGUUUGGUGGUGGUGCGAUGACGAAACGAGGAAAGAUAGGGAUAGACUGAGAAGAGAGAGAGAGAGCCGAGAUGAAAGAAGGAGCUGAGAAGAGGAGAGAGAGAGCCGUCAACGGUGUUGGCCGAAGGCUACCAGAGCCGCGUCGGAAGUUUUACGGCGGUGGUGAUGGCGAUUAUUGUCAGCAGAUUUGGGUUACGGUUCAUCAGGUUCGGGUGACGAUGUUGCAGACUUCGGGCUCGGGUCGGAUCAGUUUUGGUUCAGGUUUGGCUCUGAUUGGGUUUGGGUCAGGUCAGUAACGUUGCAGCUCUGGAAAUCUUUGGGAGCUCCUGUCGGGUCGAACAACAGUGGUGCUAGGUGGCUUUGAGUUCAGAUUUGGUGGACUUUGAAUUUCAGAUGACUGUUGAUGUUGUGAGUUAGUAAUUUGCUCAAAGAGUUUAUGUUCUAGUUCUUUCUCUUAAGAUCUCGGGUUCUCGGUUUGGUUCGGUCAAUAGAAGUCAACGCAGUCAAGGGUGUAGUUCGGGUCUUAUUUCGGGUGUUUUGGGUUCGGUCAAAGCUGGUCAAACACUCAGUUCCGGUUCGGUCCCGCCAAAGAGGGUCAACAUCAGAUCUAUGCGGUUCGGGUGCACGUCAGUUGUGGUUCGGGUUCGUGAAGCGAGUCAACUCGGUCCAACCUGGUCAACUCAGUGAGUCGACCUGGUCAACUCAGUUGACCCGGUCAACACAGUCAAACGUCUCGACGUGAAAGAUUUGGUAAAGAAUUUAGCGUCGCAAUUAAUAUUUACAUUGUUUUUACAUAGGUUUUGUUUAUUUCGUGAAAACGAGCUCGAACCGAACGAUGAGAAUAUAGUUUACAUUUCGAUAUAUUUGACAAAUUACAUAUAUUAUGAUUGAAUAUUGUUGAA